rnacentral:rRNA from 1 species
AACGCUGGCGGCGUGCUUAACACAUGCAAGUCGAGCGGUAAGGCCUUUCGGGGUACACGAGCGGCGAACGGGUGAGUAACACGUGGGUGAUCUGCCCUGCACUUCGGGAUAAGCCUGGGAAACUGGGUCUAAUACCGGAUAUGACCUCCUAUCGCAUGGUGGGUGGUGGAAAGAUUUAUCGGUGCAGGAUGGGCCCGCGGCCUAUCAGCUUGUUGGUGGGGUAAUGGCCUACCAAGGCGACGACGGGUAGCCGACCUGAGAGGGUGACCGGCCACACUGGGACUGAGACACGGCCCAGACUCCUACGGGAGGCAGCAGUGGGGAAUAUUGCACAAUGGGCGAAAGCCUGAUGCAGCGACGCCGCGUGAGGGAUGACGGCCUUCGGGUUGUAAACCUCUUUCAGCAGGGACGAAGCGCAAGUGACGGUACCUGCAGAAGAAGCACCGGCUAACUACGUGCCAGCAGCCGCGGUAAU